ensembl:misc_RNA Metazoa_SRP Metazoan signal recognition particle RNA
GCCAGGCAGAGUGGCACACACCAAUUAGUCCCAGCUACUCAGGAGGUUGGGGUGGGAGGAUUGCUUGCUUCCAGGUGCUCUGCGCUAUAGUACACAAUGUCAAUCAAGUGUCUGCACUAAUUUCUGUGCCAAUAUGGCAUCUUCCUGAGAGUGGGAGACAACCAGGUUGCCUGAGAGGGAGUGAAUCAGUGCAGGUCAGAAAAGGAGCUCAAAAUCCCUAUGCUGACCAGUAAUGGGAUCAUACCCAUGGGUAGCCACUACACUCCAGCCUGGGCAACAUAGCAAGAUCCCCAUU